UCGUUGCUCACUUUUUAGAGCCAUUAGAGGUUAAUUUUUCGCUGCACCCACGCACGUCCGCCGGCGUCAUUCCUUGCUAUAUCGAAAACACGAAAAACCAGACAAUCCCGCCGGAUUAAUCAUCUGCCGAAAUCUCUCAAAAGUGCUGCUUCGUCCGAAAAUAUUUUCAACCGUUUUUAUAUCCAUAAAAACUACGAACGAUUUUUUCUUCUACGUUUUCAUUUGACAAUAAUUUUUGAUUAAUUUCAGAGGAUUGAAACCUUUACGAAAAUCUUAUUUCCGAUUUGUUUCGUUACGACAUUAUCGUUGGGAUGAUUUUUUUGUAAUAUUCUACUAGGCGUGAACUCUGAACUGGAAAUACGCAAUUCUUGUGAAACGAUAUAAAAAUCAUGGUAUCAGCUGACGUUAAAAUGGUGAAAUAUAUAACUUUGGCAAAUAUUCUAUUUUCGGCAGAGCCAUCUUGAAUACUGUGCUUCGACUGUAAUUUCUAAUUCGUUCAAUCAACAAACUUAACCUAUCGUGGGAUGCGAGACACUUGUUUACUGAGUUUCAUAGAGUUACAAAGAACCUAAGAAAUAUUUUGCAGUUCAGUGGCUAAUAGAUCCCGAAAAAAAACGAAUUUUGAUGCUUUCUUUCUAUUUUUAAUUUUCUUUACGAUUCUUCGGAGGUGAUGAGCGAAUAGUUUGCCCGUUGAAAAGAUUGAAAUAAAAGUCAUUGCCAAAUAUCGUAACACUCGAAAAAAAUAUAGUAACGUAUGGCAAACAUCUGGAAAUACUCGAUAAGAGUUGUCUACAGAAAAUAUGAUCGAAGAUAUCCGGCAGAAGUUUGGCAACGAUUGUCAAAUUGUGAGAUAAAAAGAUAAAAUUACUCAAUCAUUUCGGAGGCCUGGAAGAUGUCACAAAAUUUCGUGGAAGGGUAAUAGUUUGUUUUUCUUUCGCGUUUUUAUUAAGUGCUCGAAAUCGUUGCCUAUUCAACGAACUUGUUUCGUUCAAUCGAUCCAAAUGAAGUGAAAUUCGAUUCUUCGAAGAUCAGUAGCAUCAAAAAUCACGACAUCAGCUUUCUCACACAAAGAAUUUUGGAGAUGCUCUCAGGACAGAAAACUCUCCAUAGGAAUGAGUGGCUGGCACCACUCUCGUGAAACUUUUCGCUCAUGCUUAACCCACGAUCUGACUCUCCUUUUUUAUUCUAAGCUCCGCGAGGGCGUGGGAAGACGAAAUAAGUGAGACUGUUGUGGGCUCUUUCGAUGUUGCUACACUUUGCUAAGAUCGAAGAGAGAUACGAAACAUGCGAGGCGCGCUUCCAUACGAGCACAUGCUUGCCCUCUUGUACGAAUCAUCUUCUCUAAUUCUCCAUUCUCCUCGAGUGCGUGCUAACUUUUCAUCGUGAUAACGAGAGUGAGUGGAGAGAGUCGAAUUAUUUGAAUUGAAAUGCUGCUGUUUCGUUGGGGUUCUGGUUAUAAACUUUUCAAAAAACAUUAAUGCAAAAAUAAUAUAAAAAUAAUGACGCGUUCAACUGGAAUGUUGGAAACAAAGACUCUGAAAAACAAGUAGAAACCCACGAUCGCGAUUCGAAUAGAUAAAAAAGUGGAAAAUAGUAAAGACGUAAUUGGCCCGAUAAGGCUGGAGGGACGUUAGAAACACGUGUGAUCCAUGAAUAAAUAAGUUUGAUCGUGCUCGAACGGUCGAAGCUGCUGAGCAUUAGACGAAAAAAUAUCCGAUUGAAAGUACCCCCGAAAAUUUCAUCACAGCGAUAAGAAAACAUUCGGAUCAUCGAGUGUGCCUGAAAGCCUUUUCUAUAUUUUCGUCCGAGGCGAAAUAAUUGCGGUUAUCGAGGAUCGGGGUUAUCGUCCGUUUGCACCGACACGAAAUUACACCAGACAUCUGACACGACGAUAAAGACGGUGCGAAAAAAAGGAGCUGCUCGGGAAUGUGAAAAGAGCCGAUUGCUUUUCAAGCUUCGCUAUGCGAUUCGUCAUUAUUUCACGGAUAUUCUGCGUGCUGAAAAAGAGGAAGAAACACUAUGGAAAUGUUUGUCCGGCGCGGACGCCUGGCGCUCGAAAAGCGGAAUCGCUCGUUCGCGAUCUUUUCGACUGUCGAUCAUUUCCUUCGAUCCAUCGAUCUCAGUUGUCUUGCAGCUGCACGUUAUGCAAAACUAUAAAUACCAUUUGCUCUCACAAUUAUCGUGUUGCUUCCUUUUCUCAAGAAAAAUCGUGACGAACUGUUACGAAGAAGACUCUCGCUUUUCGCUUCGAGAUUAUUUCGGUUCAAUUUUUCGAUAAUAUUUCAACGAAAUCGAUUUUUUUUUUAUACAUUCCAAUGAAUUUUGAACCCGUCACAUCAUUUCGGAGCUGAGACUCAUCCUCGAUUUGAUAGAAGAAACGUUAAAGAAUUCUUGCGGAGAAAAACGUCCAUUUGCACACGAAAACGAGCUCGCUUCGCAUUUCUUCAUUUCAAUUGGAAAUGGUUAAGAAGUCACGAGGAAAAAAGAGACAGCGAAAGAGGAGAAAAAUUAGAAGCGAUCGUGAAGAAUCUCCAGUUACUUUGCGUCAGUUACUUUAGUCAUCCUCGCUGUUAAUUUUAGUGAAACUUAGCUUCUCGUCACCGAAGAAUCGAGAUCGACGGCAGUGGAGAAUGAAAGCGCCCGGACAGUCCUGAUUACUGUUUCAAGUUGCCGGAUUAUUUGCAGCCCUGCAAUUUUCACCAGGAGGAAAAUCGAGUGAAGAAAUCAUCGAGACAGAAACGAGUCUUCGAAAAAUCGAGCGACUCUGACCUACCUCAGAAGUACACAGAACCAUCUCCGAGACGGGGAGGAGCCCUCGAAAAGAUGAGCGUCCCUGACCUAGCUCAAAAUUCCUUAGAAAUACUUUCGACCGAAAAUCCUCGGGAAAAUAAAUCUCGAGGGAUAACCGUUUACAAAAUCGAAGGCUACCACCCGAGCCCAUUCCUAUUUAAAAUUUGUCGGGACGAAAACAUCGAAGGAAAGGUGGUCACAGAAUUUACGGUGGGCAUAUUUCCACCCAAGAAUAGAGCACAGGCGUUCGAGGCACCGGCAGUCUUUCCCAAAAUGGAUAAAGGCGAGUGGAAAAACAAAAUGGACACGGUUUGGUCUCGCCCUGUAGAAGGCGACGACAAAGACAAAGAACCGAGUGACGAAGCGUCCGGAAUCUAAAAAUUCGGAAGAUUGAAAAAAAUGUUUUCCAAAAAAAAAAUGCAUUUCAUAGAAGGCAGUUUUGUAAAUUUAACGAAUCCGUCCCAGAAUGGCAGAUAAUUCAGCCCAUUAAACUAAAUCAUGAAAAUCUCUUAUCGACGAAUCAAGGAAAUCGUCAAAGCCCGCAAGCAAAUUCAUUUAUUUUCACAAACUUUCAAGUCGAAUUAACAAUGAUAAUAAAAAAAAUGAAUUCGAAUUUCAAUUACUUCAGUGACCGAAAAGUCAGCAUUCGGAUGGAUAAAUUAAUCAGUUUAUUUAGAAAAUAAAUCGUUGUACACUCUGUGAAGGAAUUGGUUUUUAAUCAAGUAAUCCCGUUGCUCCUCAUCAAUGAGUUUCUAGCUUUACAUGAUGAGAAAUUAUCAGGACUGUAUAAAGUGUAACGUUCGAAUAAAAAAACGUAACAAAGGAA